UGUGUACAAAGUAGAACUAGUUCACCCAAAAAUUCACAGGAGCAUGUGUUCUGUGGUUUUCACAGGAGGCCUGACACUUGGAAAGCCUGAAGUUUAAACAAAUAUCUCCUCGGAGGAAACAUCGAUCAUUAGCGGCGGUGUGUCCUUGAGGGAUUUGGUGGGCGACAAAGUAAGCCAUGGAAAUGAGUGAGAGGGAGCGAUAAGGAAAGAGUCCAGUCAAGGUCUUGGAUUCGCUCGCAUGCUGCCAAGACCGCGAAGGAAAGAAUGCAUCAUGUUUUUUUUUCUUCUUUUUUUACAAUGAAAUGGAAUAAGAAAGGCUCCUUUCAACAACAUUGAUGCGCUCGGAAACAAAGUCUGUCGACAACAUAGCGUUUCUACUGGCCUUGUCGAAUUUAAUGUACGGCAAAGUCUGGAAGGGUGGAAGUUGGACGAUAAGCCUGUCAACCUUGGCGAACUGGAGUGGAAAUGGGUUUAUGUAGGAAAAUCAGCAUCUGAUCAGAAUGUAAAGGUGGAAGGGGGUGGGGGGGAAUGUUAAUCUAGCCACAUCGCAAAUUUAUCCUUUAGCAUAGUUUCGGAUGCUUUUUUAAACCAUUGAAUUGAACAGUUUAUGUCACUUCAAUGGUUAGAAAAAAAAAAAAGAGAGAAAUCACCGUGCAUAGAAAGCAGUUCACGGUCACGGAACAAGGCGAGAGUGCGCCGUGAGCGUAGCCUCCAUUACGGUAUGUCCUAUGACAGCCAAAACCCCGCAGAGAGCUUCAAAGCCACUUUGUUGUGGCCGUUAAUGGUGCUGAUGAUAGCACACUGGCUUCUCAAGCCUGGGUGCUGCAGCAGAGCCAAAAGGAAUGGGGGGGGUGGGGGGCGGGGGGCGUAAAAGUAACGCUAUAGUAAGGCAAAGCCAGUGUCUAAAGUGCAUAUCGUAACCUUUUUUUGCUUGCACCACAAAACAAAUUCUCCUGGGUCAGACA